rnacentral:rRNA from 1 species
GACCGGCGCACGGGUGAGUAACACGUAUCCAACCUGCCGUCUACUCUUGGCCAGCCUUCUGAAAGGAAGAUUAAUCCAGGAUGGGAUCAUGAGUUCACAUGUCCGCAUGAUUAAAGGUAUUUUCCGGUAGACGAUGGGGAUGCGUUCCAUUAGAUAGUAGGCGGGGUAACGGCCCACCUAGUCAACGAUGGAUAGGGGUUCUGAGAGGAAGGUCCCCCACAUUGGAACUGAGACACGGUCCAAACUCCUACGGGAGGCAGCAGUGAGGAAUAUUGGUCAAUGGGCGAUGGCCUGAACCAGCCAAGUAGCGUGAAGGAUGACUGCCCUAUGGGUUGUAAACUUCUUUUAUAAAGGAAUAAAGUCGGGUAUGCAUACCCGUUUGCAUGUACUUUAUGAAUAAGGAUCGGCUAACUCCGUGCCAGCAGCCGCGGUAAUACGGAGGAUCCGAGCGUUAUCCGGAUUUAUUGGGUUUAAAGGGAGCGUAGAUGGAUGUUUAAGUCAGUUGUGAAAGUUUGCGGCUCAACCGUAAAAUUGCAGUUGAUACUGGAUGUCUUGAGUGCAGUUGAGGCAGGCGGAAUUCGUGGUGUAGCGGUGAAAUGCUUAGAUAUCACG